AAUUUAUGGAACGCCGCCGCCUGUUUGCGAGCCUCCUGAAACCUGUCAACGACAGUGUUGACUGCGUCGCCGAACAGGCCAGAAGGCUGGAUCGGGGCGUCCAUAAGGCAGACCUUGUCCCGCUCUUUCAUUUCAGACAGGGUCAGCCACAAAUGCCUCUCCGCGGCCACCAUAGCCAUGGACCGCCCAAUCGCUCGGGCGGUCUCCUUGGUGGCGCGGAGGGAGAGAUCAGCGGUCCUUCUGAGCUCAGUGAUGUCAUCGGACUUGAUCUCCUCUCCCUCAUCAAGCUCCUUCAGCAGGUCAGCCUGGUACGCCUGUAACACCGCCAUGGUGUGCAGACACGCACCAGCCUGACCUGCUGCCGCAUACCCUUUGCCCACCAGAGCCGACGUUGUUCUGAGCGGCUUGGAGGGCAAUGCCGGGGCCUUCAGAGACGAUGCAGUACCGGGGGACAGAUAGCUCGCGAGCGUCUGUUCCACCCGGGGCAUCGCUCUGUAGCCGCGCUCUGUAAUCCCCACUACAUUGCCGUAGUAAUCUGAAGAGGGGAUAUACAGGCGGGCUGAGAAUGGCCUCUUCCACGAUCUAGCGAUCUCUUCAUGUAGAUCGGGAAAGAAUGGAAGGCCCCGGCAAGGAGGUGGCUGACUCGCCCGCAGAAAGCGUUCAUCGAGCUUGCUUUUCUGCGGUUCGGUUGUUUUCUCGGCGGGCCAGUCAAGACUCAACUUGGCCACCGCACGAGUCACCACCUCCAAGAGCUCCUCAUACCUAGGCGAGUGGGGUGGCGAAUCCCUAUCGACAGACUCCACAUCGACCUCCUCGGAGGAAGAGAGGCGGAGUGUCGAUCCCUCUCCCUGGGUGGAAGGAACCGCAGAGCGUGCUUCCGACUCCAGAGAUUGGGCGCCGGAUCUGGCAGAAGUGGAAGGAGAUAGGGACUCGCCCGUCUCCAUUCCCUCUGUCAGAUCCACUUUCGAACCCCACGAGUGCAGCUGCCGCUCUGCCUCGGCAGAAGCGGGGCCAGCACCGCGGGGAACGCUGGCGAAGGCUCCCUCCUCAAAGAGAGCCCUCUGGGAACGAAGCAGCCGCACCGACAUCCUCUCACAAUGCGGACAGUCGGCCCCCUCGAGAGCCGACUCGGCGUGCUUCGAACCCAGGCAGACCACGCACAGACUGUGUGUAUCCCCGCUCGUAAUGUAGCGCGGGCAUGGAGGGACACACAGUCUGAAACGCGAUCCGGAUUCGCCCUUAGAAUGCUUAGAUUUCGCCUUACACUUGGACAUUGCUUGGAGCUCUACUGAACAGACAACAGUAAAUAAGACUCACAAGACAAAAUGACAUGCACACACAGAGCGCUUGCUGAAGACGCGAAGCUGAUGCCAGCUGCGCGGCAUGUGCUUUUAUAGCUUCCUGGUCGCUUACGUCACCCCGCCCGUGACGUCACGCUCUUCCAUUGGACUGAUUUCACACGAUAUUCAGAGUCGCUCACGC
ensembl:lncRNA